rnacentral:rRNA from 1 species
CAAUAGCGUAUAUUUAAGUUGCUGCCGUUAAAAAGCUCGUAGUUGGAUUUCGGGUGGGAAUGGCCGGUCCGCCGUUUCGGUGUGCACUUGCUACGCCCACCUUGCUGCCGGGGACGUGCUCUUGAGUUCACGCUCGGGACACGGAGUCGGCGAGGUUACUUUGAGUAAAUUAGAGUGUUCAAAGCAGGCCUACGCUCUGAAUACAUUAGCAUGGAAUAACACGAUAGGACUCUGGCCUAUCUUGUUGGUCUGUAGGACCGGAGUAAUGAUUAAGAGGGACAGUCGGGGGCAUUCGUAUUUCAUUGUCAGAGGUGAAAUUCUUGGAUUUAUGAAAGACGAACUACUGCGGAAGCAUUUGCCAAGGAUGUUUUCAUUAA